rnacentral:rRNA from 1 species
GACGAACGCUGGCGGCGUGCCUAACACAUGCAAGUCGAGCGAAUGAAGUUCCUUCGGGAAUGGAUUUAGCGGCGGACGGGUGAGUAACACGUGGGCAACCUGCCUCAUAGAGGGGAAUAGCCUUCCGAAAGGGAGAUUAAUACCGCAUAAGAUUGUAGUAUCGCAUGAUACAGCAAUUAAAGGAGCAAUCCGCUAUGAGAUGGGCCCGCGGCGCAUUAGCUAGUUGGUGAGGUAACGGCUCACCAAGGCGACGAUGCGUAGCCGACCUGAGAGGGUGAUCGGCCACAUUGGGACUGAGACACGGCCCAGACUCCUACGGGAGGCAGCAGUGGGGAAUAUUGCACAAUGGGGGAAACCCUGAUGCAGCAACGCCGCGUGAGUGAUGACGGCCUUCGGGUUGUAAAGCUCUGUAUUCAGGGACGAUAAUGACGGUACCUGAGGAGGAAGCCACGGCUAACUACGUG